rnacentral:rRNA from 1 species
UACGGAGGGGGCUAGCGUUGUUCGGAAUUACUGGGCGUAAAGCGCACGUAGGCGGCUUUGCAAGUUAGAGGUGAAAGCCCGGAGCUCAACUCCGGAACUGCCUUUAAGACUGCAUCGCUUGAACGUCGGAGAGGUAAGUGGAAUUCCGAGUGUAGAGGUGAAAUUCGUAGAUAUUCGGAAGAACACCAGUGGCGAAGGCGACUUACUGGACGACUGUUGACGCUGAGGUGCGAAAGCGUGGGGAGCAAACGGG